rnacentral:rRNA from 1 species
GUCCACGCCCUAAACGAUGUCAACUGGUUGUUGGGUCUUCACUGACUCAGUAACGAAGCUAACGCGUGAAGUUGACCGCCUGGGAGUACGGCCGCAAGGUUGAACUCAAAGGAAUUGACGGGACCCGCACAAGCGGUGGAUGAUGUGGUUUAAUUCGAUGCAACGCGAAACCUUACCCACCUUUGACAUGUACGGAACUCGCCAGAGAUGGCUUGGUGCUCGAAAGAGAACCGUAACACAGGUGCUGCAUGGCUGUCGU